CUUAAUUGGGCGUUAAGUUGCAGGGUAUAGACCCGAAACCCGGUGAUCUAGCCAUGGGCAGGUUGAAGGUUGGGUAACACUAACUGGAGGACCGAACCGACUAAUGUUGAAAAAUUAGCGGAUGACCUGUGGCUGGGGGUGAAAGGCCAAUCAAACCGGGAGAUAGCUGGUUCUCCCCGAAAGCUAUUUAGGUAGCGCCUCGUGAAUUCAUCUCCGGGGGUAGAGCACUGUUUCGGCUAGGGGGCCAUCCCGGCUUACCAACCCGAUGCAAACUGCGAAUACCGGAGAAUGUUAUCACGGGAGACACACGGCGGGUGCUAACGUCCGUCGUGAAGAGGGAAACAACCCAGACCGCCAGCUAAGGUCCCAAAGUCAUGGUUAAGUGGGAAACGAUGUGGGAAGGCCCAGACAGCCAGGAUGUUGGCUUAGAAGCAGCCAUCAUUUAAAGAAAGCGUAAUAGCUCACUGGUCGAGUCGGCCUGCGCGGAAGAUGUAACGGGGCUAAACCAUGCACCGAAGCUGCGGCAGCGACGUUUAUGCGUUGUUGGGUAGGGGAGCGUUCUGUAAGCCUGCGAAGGUGGCCUGUGAGGGUUGCUGGAGGUAUCAGAAGUGCGAAUGCUGACAUAAGUAACGAUAAAGCGGGUGAAAAGCCCGCUCGCCGGAAGACCAAGGGUUCCUGUCCAACGUUAAUCGGGGCAGGGUGAGUCGACCCCUAAGGCGAGGCCGAAAGGCGUAGUCGAUGGGAAACGGGUUAAUAUUCCCGUACUUGGUGUUACUGCGAAGGGGGGACGGAGAAGGCUAUGUUGGCCGGGCGACGGUU
rnacentral:rRNA from 1 species